rnacentral:rRNA from 1 species
CUUCGGGAGCAGCAGUGGGAAUAUGCACAAUUGCCGCAGCCUGAUGCAGCGACNCCGCNUGANGGAUGAGCCCNUNCGGUNNGUAAACCUCUUUAUCGGGGAGCAAGCGAGAGUGAGNUUACCCGUGAAAUAAGCACCGGCUAACUACGUGCCAGCAGCCGCGGUAAUACGUAGGGUGCAAGCGUAUCCCGGAAUUAUGGGGCGUAAAGGGCUCGUAGGCGGUUCGUCGCGUCCGGUGUGAAAGUCCAUCGCUUAACGGUGGAUCCGCGCCGGGUACGGGCGGGCUUGAGUGCGGUAGGGGAGACUGGAAUUCCCGGUGUAACGGUGGAAUGUGUAGAUAUCGGGAAGAACACCAAUGGCGAAGGCAGGUCUCUGGGCCGUUACUGACGCUGAGGAGCGAAAGCGUGGGGAGCGAACAGGAUUAGAUACCCUGGUAGUCCACGCCGUAAACGGUGGAUGCUGGAUGUGGGGCCCGUUCCACGGGUUCCGUGUCGGAGCUAACGCGUUAAGCAUCCCGCCUGGGGAGUACGGCCGCAAGGCUAAAACUCAAAGAAAUUGACGGGGGCCCGCACAAGCGGCGGAGCAUGCGGAUUAAUUCGAUGCAACGCGAAGAACCUUACCUGGGCUUGACAUGUUCCCGACGGUCGUAGAGAUACGGCUUCCCUUCGGGGCGGGUUCACAGGUGGUGCAUGGUCGUCGUCAGCUCGUGUCGUGAGAUGUUGGGUUAAGUCCCGCAACGAGCGCAACCCUCGCCCCGUGUUGCCAGCGGAUUAUGCCGGGAACUCACGGGGGACCGCCGGGGUUAACUCGGAGGAAGGUGGGGAUGACGUCAGAUCAUCAUGCCCCUUACGUCCAGGGCUUCACGCAUGCUACAAUGGCCGGUACAACGGGAUGCGACGCGGCGACGCGGAGCGGAUCCCUGAAAACCGGUCUCAGUUCGGAUCGCAGUCUGCAACUCGACUGCGUGAAGGCGGAGUCGCUAGUAAUCGCGAAUCAGCAACGUCGCGGUGAAUGCGUUCCCGGGCCUUGUACACACCGCCCG